rnacentral:rRNA from 1 species
AGAGUUUGAUCCUGGCUCAGGACGAACGCUGACGGUGUGCUUUAGACAUGCAAGUCGAACGAGAAAGCCCUUCGGGGUGAGUACAGUGGCGAACGGGUGAGUAACACGUGGGUAACCUGCCCCUCGCAGGGGGACAACCGGGGGAAACCCCGGCUAAUACCCCGUACGCUCCGAGGUCCGCAUGGGCCACGGAGGAGAGGUAGCUUCGGCCAUCCGGCGAGGGAUGGGCUCGCGGUCCAUUAGCUAGUUGGUGGGGUAACGGCCUACCAAGGCGACGAUGGAUAGCUGGUCUGAGAGGAUGAUCAGCCACACUGGGACUGAGACACGGCCCAGACUCCUACGGGAGGCAGCAGUCGGGAAUCUUGCGCAAUGGGCGAAAGCCUGACGCAGCAACACCGUGUGGGCGACGAAGGCCUUCGGGUCGUAAAGCCCUGUUGUUGGGGACGAAGGGCGAAGGGUUAAUAGCCCCCAGCCUGACGGUACCCUUCGAGGAAGCCCCGGCUAACUACGUGCCAGCAGCCGCGGUAAUACGUAGGGGGCGAGCGUUGUCCGGAAUUAUUGGGCGUAAAGAGCGUGUAGGCGGUUCGGUAAGUCUGCCGUGAAAACCCGGGGCUCAACCCCGGUCGUGCGGUGGAUACUGCCGGGCUAGAGGGUGGUAGAGGCGAGUGGAAUUCCCGGUGUAGCGGUGAAAUGCGCAGAUAUCGGGAGGAACACCAGUAGCGAAGGCGGCUCGCUGGGCCAUUCCUGACGCUGAGACGCGAAAGCUAGGGGAGCGAACAGGAUUAGAUACCCUAGUAGUCC